rnacentral:rRNA from 1 species
GAUGAACGCUGGCGGCGUGCCUAAUACAUGCAAGUCGAGCGAACAGACGAGGAGCUUGCUCCUUCGACGUUAGCGGCGGACGGGUGAGUAACACGUAGGUAACCUACCUAUAAGACUGGGAUAACUUCGGGAAACCGGAGCUAAUACCGGAUAAUAUUUCGAACCGCAUGGUUCGAUAGUGAAAGAUGGCUUUGCUAUCACUUAUAGAUGGACCUGCGCCGUAUUAGCUAGCUGGUAAGGUAACGGCUUACCAAGGCAACGAUACGUAGCCGACCUGAGAGGGUGAUCGGCCACACUGGAACUGAGACACGGUCCAGACUCCUACGGGAGGCAGCAGUAGGGAAUCUUCCGCAAUGGGCGAAAGCCUGACGGAGCAACGCCGCGUGAGUGAUGAAGGUCUUCGGAUCGUAAAACUCUGUUAUUAGGGAAGAACAAACGUGUAAGUAGCUGUGCACGUCUUGACGGUACCUAAUCAGAAAGCCACGGCUAACUACGUG